ACUUUCUCAAAAAACUUAUCUUGAAAAUAAGUUAAAGAUAAAUCUAGAAAGUU
rnacentral:tRNA from 1 species